UAGGGAAUCUUCCACAAUGGACGCAAGUCUGAUGGAGCAACGCCGCGUGAGUGAAGAAGGCUUUCGGGUCGUAAAACUCUGUUAUUGAAGAAGAACGUGUGUGACAGUAACUGGUCAUGCAGUGACGGUAUUCAAUCAGAAAGUCACGGCUAACUACGUGCCAGCAGCCGCGGUAAUACGUAGGUGGCAAGCGUUGUCCGGAUUUAUUGGGCGUAAAGCGAGUGCAGGCGGUCUUUUAAGUCUGAUGUGAAAGCCUUCGGCUUAACCGAAGAAGGGCAUCGGAAACUGGGAGACUUGAGUGCAGAAGAGGAGAGUGGAACUCCAUGUGUAGCGGUGAAAUGCGUAGAUAUAUGGAAGAACACCAGUGGCGAAGGCGGCUCUCUGGUCUGUAACCGACGCUGAGGCUCGAAAGCGUGGGUAGCAAACAGGAUUAGAUACCCUGGUAGUCCACGCCGUAAACGAUGAGUACUAAGUGUUGGAGGGUUUCCGCCCUUCAGUGCUGCAGCUAACGCAUUAAGUAUUCCGCCUGGGGAGUACGACCGCAAGGUUGAAAC
rnacentral:rRNA from 1 species